rfam:Salmo salar isolate Sally breed double haploid chromosome ssa09, whole genome shotgun sequence.
CUCACGCAUGACUGUAAGUCGCUUUGGAUGAAACCGUCUGCUAAAUGGUAUAUU